UGCACAGAGACACACCCACACUAGCCCA
rnacentral:piRNA from 1 species